UUCACCAAAUGUCCCGGCCAAACCUAAGUCAGACUCAAAGAUAUCACGGAUUAUAUUAGUAACUAUAGAACAAAUUACUUAUCUUUUAGGCAAGACCGUAGAUGAAUAAUCCAGGGAAUGACCAUUUCAGAGUGACACAAGAUCCAAAGCUCAUCAGCAAUAUAAAACAACCAAGCAGCUACGGUGAAAGAGCACCCUGAUGGACGAUGUGUACACCAUCAUGAAUCAGUACAAUCCUUUAUGCAUAACUAUGUGAAACCCCUUGCCUCACAAAGACACUGAUUUAUCCACAUAAUAUGGCCUCCAAGUUUCGUGCAGCCCCACCAAUCUUUCAAAAAAUCCACCUGGGACAUGAAAAGUAGGUAUUACAAAUGGCACUGCAGAAAAGAGCCUUUUGUUUCAAACUUGCUCAUUAUAUGACAAAAGCCAACCAUGAAAGUGCAAAAGCAGCAUGAUUUAUAUUUUUAUUUCAUGGUAAAAUGCUGCUUGAGUAGCCUGGUCCACUCAAGUUGAAUGAGACAUGAUAGAAGUA
rnacentral:lncRNA from 1 species